AUACGUAGGGUGCGAGCGUUGUCCGGAAUUACUGGGCGUAAAGAGCUCGUAGGUGGUUUGUCGCGUCGUCUGUGAAAUUCCGGGGCUUAACUCCGGGCGUGCAGGCGAUACGGGCAUAACUUGAGUACUGUAGGGGUGACUGGAAUUCCUGGUGUAGCGGUGAAAUGCGCAGAUAUCAGGAGGAACACCGGUGGCGAAGGCGGGUCUCUGGGCAGUAACUGACGCUGAGGAGCGAAAGCAUGGGUAGCGAACAGGAUUAGAUACCCUGGUAGUCCAUGCCGUAAACGGUGGGCGCUAGGUGUAGGGGUCUUCCACGACUUCUGUGCCGUAGCUAACGCAUUAAGCGCCCCGCCUGGGGAGUACGGCCGCAAGGCUAAAACUUAAAGGAAUUGACGGGG
rnacentral:rRNA from 1 species